UACAAGGUUUUGAUCCCUCAUUUUAUGUUGGUACGUAGGCACAAGUCCGAAGGUCUUGUCAAACACAAAAUAUAAUUAAUGAAUUCUUUUCUCAUCCCCACACUCUAUUUAUUGCAAACAUCAUUUCAUACCAAAAACACAUGUACACACAAAAAAAGGCUCCCUAGGAGUACCUAGGACACUUUGGGUGCUAACACCUUCCCUCUGUGUAACCAAC
rnacentral:lncRNA from 1 species